GCAACUAUACGUCCAUCGACAGUGAGCAAAGCGCGAGCAUUUUGUGUGACCAACGCGGCUUAGAUUGAGAAGGAGAAGAUUGAAAUUGCUAUGUGAAACAGUGAGUUUAUUGUGAGAUGGAAUAAAGGCGAGUCGGUGACUUGACGCGCUCUCCCGAAUCGCUUGUUAAUCCGUUGAGUUCGAAUCUCACGAUUUUCGAAUGACCUUGCCGCGUUUUCGACGGUAAAAACGGGGGGAGGCUCGAGCAAAAGUGAUAAAAGAGCGUUUCCUUGAUCGACGCUCGCGUGUGUAUCCGAUGAUUCAUCGCUUCUCGUGCGAGUGAAAACAAAAAUCACCAUCUGUCGUGUUCGAAUACUGCGAGCGCCAUUGUAACAUUGGCUCGAACGUGUGCAGUGUUAUCGAGGUAACGCCAGUGGCAAAAAUGUUGACACGGCUCUCAGGUUGCAGUGAUUAGCUCAUUUGUGCCCUUGUUGCAAGAGAAACAGAAACAUAUAUAAAUUUCUCGCUGUGCUCCGAAAAAUCCACCGCGGAGAAAUGACUUGCUCGACGGUCCAACAGACCCUUUAGUUUUUCAACUAUUUUGAAGAAUGUUCCCCACCUCAGAACACGGAACGAAACUGACGCGUUUAUUCGCCACAAUAAAGUGCCAAUUUUCUAAAAUUUCCAUCAGCUUUCGCGAAAUUGAUCGCAGUCGAUGAUCAAUAUCACGUGGAACUGAAAUCGAUAGCCCAUCGCCAAUUUGUACUAGAAACGAAUGAAGAAUGUGGCACGAAAAGUUCCCUUGUAAUUCCUGCCGCAUCCAAAAGUUGUGCCAAAUAUGUAGCUGAACUCGAGUGAAUUAGUCGUGCGAAGUACCCGAUCGACGAGCGAUCCUUGCGGUUCCUUUAAUCUUAAAUGUCAUCGGUAUUAUCUCGAUGAAAUAUGCCGAACUGCUGAUGCCUCAGAAGUGCGCGAAAUGUGGAAAGCGUUGAUACAAGCUUAGAGAUCAAUGAAGCAUCGGGAUCGAUGCAGUUUGUACAGCGAAGAACGCGAAGCGAGCGAUACGACGUUGCUUUUUGACAAGUCGUUAAAACAGCGUGAUUCAGCCUCUAUAUUCCCCAUAAUUAAAGAGUUCUUAAUUAAGGAACAGUUUACGUUCUGGUGAACUUUGUGCGAAAGCAAUUACAAAGUGCCUUGAUUGACAAACAGCAAGGCUGUUGUAUCGAUCCCGCUCGCCCAAUAUACACGUAUAUUAUUGCCUGAUAUACGAGCAAAACAUGGCGAGAUAUGUGUGAAACUAACGUGCGAAUAAAACACGAGAGAAGCCUUUGUAUAAAUUGGCUACGAAUGGUGGCGCAUACGCUCCUCGUCAAUCAGCAUGAUCUUAUAAUUGUUCGUCACGCGAAGGGCGAACGAUAACUAGCGCGAUACGAUUGUGUGGGUCGAGAUAUUUCAGAUCCGUUGUAAAUAUUCGGAUCGUUGACAGAAAUGAAUGGAAUUCGGCCUCUAUCCGUCGAAAGCCUGGUAGCCAAGGUUGAAAAACUACGAGUUGCAAAUUCGGCAGGACACAGAGUCGGAGAUUUACUGGAUUUAUGCGGGCGGCUUUUUUUACAUCAUUUCGUUGGAUGACUCCGGCGCUGCAAACUUCAGUGUCAUUUGUUCUACUCCAUCUUAAGGAAGUUCAAGCGAUAUAUGUAGGAUACCAUAUACGAAAAAUAUAUUAGAUUUUAUUAUUCCAAGUUAAUGUAUUGAAUAUUUGAAUCAACGGCAUAUUCCGCCAGAACUUUAAUACUGCCUUAAAGCUUUCUGUUUAACAAAUGUCAUUGUGCAAAGAUUGGAAAAUCAUUUUUCCCACAAGAUACACGCUUGAGCCUCCUUAAAAUAUAAAUUAUACGGAAAAUCUCAUUUUUAAUUGAUCCAAAAACUUUGUACACGUUUUUUGAAAGUCGAAAUAUGAACGAAGUUGCCAUACUUUGCUGAGAAAAUGCAUGGUCAUCUGCGUUACCGACAGCGAAUGUCUACCGACUCGAGCACAGCACAUUAGUGAAAUUUCGGAUCGAAAUCGAAAUUCCAUCAUGAGAGUUCGUUCUUGUAACGUCAUUGCGAACAAUAUCAAAACGGAUUUUCAAACAGGAUAAUUGAACGUUAGAUCAACCGAAUGAAAAUUUCUUAAUCAAGCAAAGCGCGCGUGCACGUGCGUGAAAAUCAAGCACGCACGCAUCAGGUGUCGUGUCAAUGCGAUAUAUUAGUUUCUCUCAUUCUCUAUAAAUAAUGAGCGAUCUGGAAUCUCUCGCAUAUUAUGUAUAUACGCAAAGUGAAAGUGCUGCGUUGCUUAUUCGAGUACGCACAUGCUCCGGAUCGACGAGUUUUUAGGAACUGUAUUUAAUCAGCAAUUUUAAAACGUAUAUCAGAGAAAGAAGACAAGAAAAAAUAAACGGAAAAGGUCGAAAAAAAAUAUCUCGAUGAGAUAAGAAAUUGUGGUUUGUACAUUACCCAAUUCGUUGUGCUCCGCUGAUAUAAAAAAUUCUUUUCAAUAUUUUUUUCAUCGCUCUUGGCGAGUUGGUCUAAAAGGAUCUUUGAAAUUCCGAAUUAAUAAGUCAGUAUUAAUCGUAAUGAUGAUUCACAGACGUUUUAAAUCGCGAAUAACUUUGAAUGAUAUUUCGAUUUUGAUUGUACGAAUAUUUAAUUAGUUUCAUUCCUCCAAGAACUUUAGCAACGACCAUCAUUCCAGCACGCUCGACGAUACGUGUAUCGUGUGUGUUUAAGUGGCCCGAUUGAACUCUCUACAAUCAAUUAACACGCUCAAAUGGUUUAUCUAAUAAUAUCUAUCGAAUAUAAAAGAGAGAAAAAGAGAGAGAGAGAGAGAGAGAGAGAGAGCAGCCCUUUAUCGUCUCGUCAUAAAUGAUAAUGUUAUACUUGGUCUAUCGCGACGUAUUUCCUUUACAUCCUCAGUGAACACAUGAGAAAAGUUCGCUUACCUCGAGCCUGUGAUACUAUAAUUCAACGCCUCCGGAAAUCAUUCAUAAAUUCCACGUAGUCAUUAUAAUGCGUCAAAAGCCUAGGGAAGUGCGUUUUCAAGCAAACUAUCGUAUUUUUAAUCCAUAAAUAAAACUUGAGUAUAAUAUUCGUUGAGUGGAAAAAAAAAUCAUCGACUCCAAAGCAAAGUGAUUUCCUCUUCGACCGGAAGUCCUACUUUGGGCUCCUGUUAACAUUUUUUCCCCGCUCCGUAAACGUAUAUCUUUUGCUUUAAAUUUUUAUCGUAAUCUCGUACUGUUUCGAUCUUUCAACAACCAGUAUCUAAUAAGCCAUAACUCUUUAAGCUUUCGACCAAAAAUAUUGGCUUCUUGAAAGAUGCUCGAGUCGAAGAAUGAAAAAGUUGGUAAAUUUCAGUCAAAUGUGUACGUCACACGUCGAGUCUGAGUCACGUUUCGAGAAAUAUUUGCACGAGGAAAAAAACAUUCACCGCGUCUACGACGCCGUGUCAUAGAUUUACCAGCAAGAGAACAAGAGAACAAACAAACCAGAGGCUGAGAAAGAGCUUUUUUUUUUAUUCUUCUUUUUUUUUAAUUUUUUUUAAUUUUUUUUUUUUUUUCUCCAUUAUCGGCUCCAGUAAGUCGGAGCCGAAGGCUGUGCGUACACAAGUACUUGACAGGAUAAAAAAGUCAGUUCACCCACUUUCCGUACGAUCGUCGAAGGUGUUGUAUCAACUGAUUCGUGAUACAUUCGGGACUAAAUAAAAUGUGGCGUGCGUAUGUACGUUCGUAUUGUUUGAUACAUAAAUAUAGUAUAUUGACGAGUA